GAGGGGGGGAGAACUAAUCCCUGUCAGAGAGAGACUCUGGACCCUGACAACCACACCAUCCCAGAAAACAGUGAAGUUCCUGCAACUGAGGCUGGCCCGACCAAGUGUGAGAGGUGUCUCCAACUUUUGCAGAGGGAGAAUGGCAGUCUGCUGGACAGACUGAGGGCUAGCAAGCGCCUCAACAAGACCCUGCGCAGCCAGCUGGACCUGUGCAGAUCCAUUAUGGCUCAGAGAGAGGGGGGUGAUGGACGAUGUUUCUCCCCCUCCAACUCAAUCACAGUGGAAGAAGAAAUGAAGGAGCAGCUGCAGGAGAUCUUGAGGCUGAGACAGAGUCUGAAGGAGAGCAUUCAGGCAAACGGGAAGCUCCAGGAGCAUCUGAAGAACCAUAAGGCCCAGCAGGCAGGGACAGAGAUGGGCCAGAACCACCCAGGUUGAAGGGAGAACUCGAUGCCUAUCAAAAACAGCUCACCAACAGCAAUGAGCUCCUCAAGUCAUUUUGUGAGGAGAUGCAGGGGUCCAAGCAGAUGAGGACAGCUGCAGUCAACCCCACUGGUAAUGUAUACAAGAAGGUCCCUCACUUCUUCUCACCAUCUACAGUUAUUCUUGCUAGUUGUGAUGUUGAUUCUGUUGAGUUGCUACACUUUCAUCCAACAUCAGAGUUUGGAGGCGGUCUCCCAGACAACCCCAAGCUAAAUCAACUCCUCUCUGAGAUCCAGCGAAUCAGAGCACAGCUUGCCGAUAAGGACACAAUACAGACUAAAGCCACAGAGGAGAAACACCCUGAGCAUUCUGGUUGGCCCGAGUGCCCUCCAAUGAUCAUCAACAUCAACUAUGUGGAGUGUGGAGCAUCCAGGCAUUCAAGCAGGAGCAGUCCUUCAGGGAGAAGAGAUCAUGCCAAGAAGGACAAUGACAACCUCUCACAAAGCAGCCUUACCUCCAGUAUAAAUGACCCGGUCCCAUCCUUAUUGAACAGUAGCCUAUCCCCACUGUGGGCAAAUGACAAGAGCCCUAAUGUCACUGGCCAGGAAGAUGAUUGCAUCAACAUGCAGAGACUGAUAUCAGAAGGGAAGACAAUGACCAAUAAGAUGAGUAGGCUACUACAGGGGUGCCACAACAACAACUCCAAUCCCACAUCACAGUCAGCAAAUUUCUACUUGGAAAAUCUGAAACUGAAGAAUAAAAUUGAGAUAAUGAAGAAGGAGCAAUCUCAAAACAAGAAGAUGCUUUCUGAGGCUGUCAAACGACUGAGAAGAGUGAACCUGGGGAAAGUAGGGAGAGUGAGUGAAUAGCAGCAAAUGAUCAUCAUUCCACUAAGCCAAUCUUUGUUUCAUGGAUUCAAAUAGAAAGAAUUGGAACUUCCCUC
ensembl:lncRNA